CCGCCCGUCACACCAUGGAAGUGUAUUGCACCAGAAGCAGGUAGCCUGACCGCAAGGGAGGGCGCCUACCACGGUGUGGUCCAUGACUGGGGUG
rnacentral:rRNA from 1 species